CGCAAGCACGGGGAGAACAUGCAAACUCCGCACAGAAAGGUCGCAAACCCGGAACCUUCUUGCUGUGAUGAAACGGCUCUACCCUGCAAAGUUUAUAGUUAUGGAAUUUCAGAAUAUUUAUUACAUCUUUUUUCAUAUAGAUUACAGUCAAACUAUUUUCUAGUCUUUAAACAUGAAGCAAUCUACAGUAAAGUUCAUUUACAUUAGAAUCUCCUUAGAGAAUAACCAGCUAGAGGAGUAUAAAUACACAUACUGCAACAGCAACCAAUUACAACGAACAACAUGGAUAUACAGUAGAAAAAAGUAGGGGUAUCAACAUUUCAUGUGCUGCUGGAGGAGUUUACAUUUGAAUGUUGAUUAUAGUGGUUCAUUAACAGCAGGUCUCAGCUCAGUUACACUGUGCUAUUGUUCAUUUGGGGAUUUUUAUGAUGUAGGCCUAAAUUCAAAUCAGUGCUUAGUUAUGUUUUAUUGUGUAUUAUUAAUUAAAUUCAGUGAUGUCUAAGCUUUUACUCAGCUGGGUGAGUUCUUGGUUCUGGUCAUUUCCCUCCAGAGCCACAGCAAAACUCAUUUAAUGAGCUAAAGAAAGAAAAUGCUUUUUCUCAUUCAGGUUCCUGACCUGAUUAGUACAAAAUAUACAACAGAUGAUGGCAUGUUAGAAACAAAAUAUAAUUUACAAUGUAUUUAUAUUUAUUUUAUCAUAUAGUAUGACUGUUACUUGUUUGGCUGAUUAUUGUUUUUAUCCUGGCUCAGUUUAUAAGAUGAAAUAGUUAAUGAUGUUUAUCUUUUACAGUGGUGUAUUUGUAAAUGUACAAGAUCUUGCUCCAUCCUGUGCUGGAGCUUUGUUUGGUGUUAUGAAUACAGGGGUCUUAAUGUGUAUUUCUCGGGGUAUCUCAUCAAAGCCACGAGCUCGUGGGCAUCUAUGUUUGCCCUCAUCACUACAGUCAACCUGCUGGGCCUUUGCACCUUCCUGGGUUUUGCUGAGGCCCGCCGGGUCGACAUUGAUCCUAGUAAAGUUUGCCACCACAACAUCCGCAUCUGAAGCAUCACUCACAGGGACCAGAAGUUUAUUCCCAAAGGAAAUGUGACCUUGGGCAGCCAGCAUCAAGGGCUUUAUCCACACCAGAGAACUAGCCAGUGGAUAGCAAGAAGCACAUGAAAAACACCUGGAUAUAACAUCUGGGCAUUUGAUUGGCUCUGGGUCUGGUAGUGGAAGUACAGCAUGGAAAGCUUUAGGAUUUGAGUGAAUGCAUUCUGGAAGCGUAUGAUGCAAGUAGGAAAACCAAAGGUUUUUAACUAUUUUGAUUUUCUUUCAGUGUGAUUUCAUGUAAUAGAAAAACCUUAGUUAAUUAUUUUGAUUACAUAUAUUUUUAUGGCUUAAUGAUUUUUGUUCAUUUAAAGUUUUUGUAGUAAGAGAAAAAAAUUCUAUUCAGUUUGAUGACAAAACAGUAUGGAAAAGCCAACAGACCUCUUUCUGUAAGUCUAGUGUCCUCACUUUUUUUUCUCUUCUGACCUGCGCUGUCCAGUCUGAGCCAGAAGUAACAUCUACACCUAGAGGCUUCACACCGUUUCAUUUCAAUCCACGGCAGGCAAAGGAGCUAUUUUGUGUUAGAAAAACCUUUCAGCUUUUAGUUUUUCAGACUUUCCACCAAUUCCACAUAUUCCUGACAUAUCUAGCUCUAUCCGAGCUCAGAUGUGCAUUAUUUACAACUGCCUUCAUUGCUUAUCCCUUUUUUUAUGUUGCUGUGCUGAAAAUGUAAACAUGUACAUAAAUAGCUGGAGUUCUGUCCAGCAACAUAUCUCUCACUCCAGGAGUCUGAAAGCCUUCUGACAAAUAGUUUUUGAGAAAGAGCAUGUAUGUAUGAUUACAACUAAAACACUGAUGUGAGAAAAUGCAGUAUUCCAGUGCUUUUAAAUUAUGCUGUAUUUAAAUUCAGUGUAUACAUUUUAAAUAACACUAUAUUUUGUCAGCAGGGAAGUUGUUUCAAUAUGCUGCACUAUCUGAAUGUAUUUCUUGUGUAGUGCCACAGAGAAGCAGUACAGUAUCAGUAAUGAAAGAGCAUCCUGCCAUCUAGCUUCCAAAGGGGAAUGGAAGACUUUUCUGUGGCAUUUUUAUUUGGAUGACUUUCAGCUUCUAGCAAAUAUUACUAUUACAUGGAAAGCAUUUUCAUAAACCUAUACAUACAGGUCAAAGAUGAAAUGAUUUCUGCUAUUAAACUGACAGCUUCUCAGUCUCAGUAGUGCACGUUUGUCCUGUUCACACGAGCAGCUCACUUACAGGCCCAGAUCACGAGUCCGGGCCAGCAGGACGUAUGUGGUGGCACCAUAUGGCAGGAUGCCGUGUGCCUAGCUGGCACUGCCCAUGUGUGAUUGGCCAGAUGCUAGUCAACCCAACCCACUCCUUCUCAUGGGACUGAAUGGCUCUGGUUGCCAUGGAGACAGAUGGCUUGUGGCAAAGAAAAGAAGGGGGGUGAGUGAAAGUAAUAAGUCAG